rnacentral:rRNA from 1 species
UACGUAGGGGGCAAGCGUUGUCCGGAUUUAUUGGGCGUAAAGAGCGUGUAGGCGGCUAUACAGGUCCGCUGUGAAAACUCGAGGCUCAACCUCGAGACGUCGGUGGAAACCGUAUGGCUAGAGUCCGGAAGAGGAGAGUGGAAUUCCUGGUGUAGCGGUGAAAUGCGCAGAUAUCAGGAAGAACACCCGUGGCGAAGGCGGCUCUCUGGGACGGUACUGACACUGAGGCGCGAAAGCGUGGGGAGCGAACAGG